CCCCCUGGUCAGCACAUCGCUAAAGCUGGCACGCCUUCUAAGCGCAUGGCCGCAGGUUCGAGUCCUGCCGGGGGCG
rnacentral:tRNA from 1 species